rnacentral:lncRNA from 1 species
CUCCUACCUUAGCCUCAUGAGUAGCUGGGACUACAGCGAUGCUGAUGAGUCGGGGGCCGGAUGCCCCAACCAGAGCUCUGUGAUUAACCAGCUGAGUAAGCCUGCUUGGACCCCCAGAUCAGAAAGAGUCCAUCUCCCUGAGCUUACCACAGUAUGCACUGACCUAUGAUGGCACAGACUUGGCAUACAACCCAGCUGUGGCCAGCGAGACACAGAGCAAGCCUGCUGAUGGGGCUUCCAGGAAAUACUUUUAUUUUUCUUCAGAUACAAGACAAAGGCAUGUAAGGAAAAGACCUUUCUGCACCUUCCCCAACUUCCUGCCUCCAACGCUUCUGUGUGAUGAUGUGAUACUUGGAACAUGGUGGCAUCUUGUGACCAUGAGGUGACAGGCUUGGCAUGGACAGCCGUGUGCUGUGGGUGGCAGAGCAGGUAACCAGGAAGCCUGGUGCUGACACCCAUCCUCCUGCACCUAUGCCAGCUGGGACCGCCCACCUCCGGACUUCUGACCGUGUGAGCUGACGGCCUCUCUUCACUGCCUGGUGCCUGUUGGUCAGCUGUUUCGUUACUUGUGAUCAAAAGCAUUCCUGAUGGAUUCAAGACUCUUUGAAGAAACUGGAGCUGUGUCACCUGGAAUCUCUGCUGUCAGCUGCUUGAAUCCCCUCCCAGCAUUUCCACCAACCUGUGCUUAGGCAAUUAGAGAAGGAGGAACUCAGGCCAGGCGCGGUGGCUCACGCCUGUAAUCCCAGCACUUCGGGAGGCCGAGGCGGGCGGAUCAAGA